rnacentral:rRNA from 1 species
AUUGAACGCUGGCGGCAUGCCUUACACAUGCAAGUCGAACGGCAGCACGGGAGCAAUCCUGGUGGCGAGUGGCGAACGGGUGAGUAAUAUAUCGGAACGUGCCCAGUCGUGGGGAUAACGUAGCGAAAGCUACGCUAAUACCGCAUACGAUCUAUGGAUGAAAGCGGGGGAUCGCAAGACCUCGCGCGAUUGGAGCGGCCGAUAUCAGAUUAGGUAGUUGGUGGGGUAAAGGCUCACCAAGCCAACGAUCUGUAGCUGGUCUGAGAGGACGACCAGCCACACUGGAACUGAGACACGGCCCAGACUCCUACGGGAGGCAGCAGUGGGGAAUUUUUGGACAAUGGGCGCAAGCCUGAUCCAGCAAUGCCGCGUGCAGGAUGAAGGCC